rnacentral:rRNA from 1 species
AUACGUAGGGAGCGAGCGUUGUCCGGAAUUACUGGGCGUAAAGGGAGCGUAGGCGGGAGUGCAAGUCAGAUGUGAAAGACCUGGGCUCAACCCCUGGGUUGCAUUUGAAACUGGAUUUCUUGAGUGAAGGAGAGGUAAGUGGAAUUCCUGGUGUAGCGGUGAAAUGCGUAGAUAUCAGGAGGAAAACCGGUGGCGAAGGCGGCUUACUGGGCGUUUGCUGACGCUGAGGCGCGAAAGCGGGGGGAGCAAACAGGAUUAGAUGCCCUGGUAGUCCACGCUGUAAACGAUGAUGACUAGGUGUGGGCGGAAUGACCCCUUCCGUGCCGCAGUUAACGCAAUAAGUAAUCCACCUGGGGAGUACGGCCGCAAGGUUGAAACUCAAAGGAAUUGACGGGG